rnacentral:rRNA from 1 species
GGACGAACGCUGGCGGCGUGCUUACCACAUGCAAGUCGAACGGAAAGGCCCUGCUUUUGUGGGGUGCUCGAGUGGCGAACGGGUGAGUAACACGUGAGUAACCUGCCCUUGACUUUGGGAUAACUUCAGGAAACUGGGGCUAAUACCGGAUAGGAGCUCCUGCUGCAUGAUGGGUCUGGGAAAGAUAUUGUUUCGGUGGGGGAUGGGCUCGCGGCCUAUCAGCUUGUUGGUGGGGUGAUGGCCUACCAAGGCGGUGACGGGUAGCCGGCCUGAGAGGGUGGACGGUCACACUGGGACUGAGACACGGCCCAGACUCCUACGGGAGGCAGCAGUGGGGAAUAUUGCACAAUGGGCGCAAGCCUGAUGCAGCGACGCCGCGUGAGGGAUGGAGGCCUUCGGGUUGUGAACCUCUUUCGCCAGUGAAGCAGGCCUGCCUCGUGUGUGGGUGGGUUGACGGUAGCUGGAUAAGAAGCGCCGGCUAACUACGUG